UGUUGGCUGACGUGUCGCUUUUUAACGCUUGAUAUGACAAUUGCAGAGGGGGAAAUGCAUCAACGAGAACUGAAAUCUCUCAAUUGUUAUAUUCGCGUUCGCGUUGUAUAUCUCGCGUCAAGAAAAAUCGUAAAUGGCUAGGACUUUGUCUUAGAUGAUGCGAAAAGGCUUGGUUUUCAUGACACGCUAGCCUCAUUGCUGCCAGACAGACUACUGUUAACCUUGUUUCACAUUCUCUCCGUCCUGUGCUGCAAACCCUUCUGCAUUACCUGUUAUGUAGGCUAUCCAAUGGCAUAAAUCCGUCCAAACUGACACCAAACGUAAAACCAAGCCAGACAGUGUCCUCAUCAACUGUUGGUGCGUUCGUGUAAGGAAUAGCCCAAACUGACCAUGUUUCAACCAACAUACACUUACUUGUAACAGCCUUCAGCCAUGCAUAGUGAGCAACCCAAAACCGAAAUUUUAUCAAGCCAAGGCCCAACCUUGCCACAUAUUUGCCAUUCCUUUUGAUAUACAUUUUCCGGUUUCGUUCUUCUACGAGAAACAGUUUCCCAAUUUUGAAAAGGGGAAAAAAAAAUGUUCGUGGGAUUUGCUAAACAGCAUCAAUGGGGUCAGUUAAACAAGGUGAAUAAACGGAUCCGAUUCUGUUGUUGGACAGCGAAACGUGACAAAUGGGAGGUAUUCAGAUCAGUUGUCAAUCUCGUGCAGAUUCGAGUUUUCCGCGUUUUCACGUUUAGGGAAACUUUUCGUCAACACUUUUCGUCUUAGUUUAUAUUAUUAUUCAAUCCUCAAUAUGGAUAAUACGUUUUGCGAGAAAGAGGAAGGGGGGUCUGUUUCGUGUAGGUAAAUGACUAGGCGGCCUUGUCCAUAUGCAUUAUGCCAAAGUACGGUGCCCGCCCAAAGUAACGACCAUGAUUAUUGUCAUCUACGAUGCGUCAAAUGCAUUUAUUUUAAACUACGUCGCUUGAAAAUACAGAUACAGAGUUUCCAACCAAAUAGACCAUUCUAAUAAUACGCCACAUUUGGUUUCAUUAGCUUUCCUUAGAUGGUUUCCCUAUGGAAACUUGCAAAGCUUUUUGCUCUUAAGUUAAUUAACUGGAGCAUUGAUAUGACAUCAUGCAGAUAAAAGAUACUCCAGGGUAUGCGAAGCUAUUUUGAAGUUCGUCAACGUGGCUUCCGCCUCAAGGAAAAUUCCACGUUCUUUCUAGUUAGUGAAACAUUUACCUGGUCUACUUUUUGCCACCGAGCUUCGUACUGUUAUUACGAAGAAAUCAAUCACUUGAUUCUAUUUAGAGGAUAACAUGUCAGUUCGAUUCAAUUUCCACGGGAUUUCUUAUUGCGUUGAGUUUUAAGUUUGGCGAGUAUUUCGGCGGGGGCCAACAUUUGUAAACGAACGCGAGAAAAUGCACCUAUCAAUGCUUUCCAUGUUAACUAAUCGGCCGAUGAUUCCAUAUCGUGCACUGCCUGGUUUUUCAGUGAGGUCCCAUGCAAAACGUGGUGUGAGACGGCCUGAACUUCAACCAUCAGCAUGCUGAAAUUGUUCGCCGUGAGGUUUAGAAUGCUCUCACUGACAGCCCGUUCACUACCGUGAGAGGGGCAAUGGCGCAAUCAUCCCGACGACCCACCGUUUGAAAAUUGUUGUGUUGAAUGUUUGUUGAAGACCGAAUGGAAUAUCGCUGGGAUGCGACACGAGCAUACGUAGCCAUCUAGGCCAUAGGGCCUCUCGAGCAGUCAAGCUCUGCCUUUCUGCUGUGAGACUGUCGGCUAGCGCCACCGCAACUCCUCGAGGCUACUCUCCUAUCGGUCCUAUCUGGUUGGCUGGCGAACGUACUGCAUCGCGUCCCGUUUUUCCCUUUUCUUUUUCUUUUUUUACUUUCCCAUCCCGCAGUCGCUUUCCACCCAUUUUCCCCCCACUUCCGCGUAGGGUGGGGUCCGCCGUCGCCUAUUGGUCGGCUGGCACCUGCAAUGCAGAGUCGACGACACAGCGAAGAGCGAAUCGUCAGUGCUAUCAGCUCAGCUCCAAAAUUUUUAUAUAAUGUCUUUUUAAUUGGUGUUUAUUUUUUUCUCUCGUCUGUUUCCUCCUUGUGACUGACGUUAAAUAUAACAAAAAAGAUGAUUGACUUAGCUUUACAGUUUAUGUUGUACUGAACUGAAGCAGCUUACAUUAAUUAAAAUAACGUUUGAACUACACGGAAGAAAACACACAAGAAUCAAGUUCACAUCACGGGGAUUCUUGCCAGUAUCAAGCCAAAUUUUCACAAGGACAAGCAAGGAAGAAGGGGAAGGGAAAUCUUUAUGGCGUUUGUCAACAUGGCUCUAAUUUAAGCAAAUGGCCAAAAAAAGAAGGCAAAUCUCAAAAUGAAACGCAGAAUAUAAAGCAACUGUCUGAUUACAAGAAAACAAAAUAUGGAAAGCUCAAACGAGAAAGAUCAUAAACUUGUCACUGAAGUCGAAUCGAAUACCCGUUGGACAUUGCCUCUUUUUUCUCGAAAUUGCUAGUCUUACUAGUUGCUUUCAUAGGCUAUUGAGUCCGUCAUAUUCAGAGUUCACGUAAUUUAGUUAAGCCUCUCUAAGCCCCCACAAAUCCAACAUUGAAACAAAAAUAUUCGAGUAGCCAAUCAAAUUAAAAUUUAUGGUGCGAAUGGUCUCCACUGUUGGUUACUCCCAGCCAUUAGGUUUUUCACCUAGCGGCCACGUCAUCGAGGUUGGAGUACCCUAUGUGUAUGGUUGCAGAACCUCUUGACUGCAUGCCCCUUGGAGAAGCGCACGGCAAGUCGAAACUUGCAUGCAAAGGUUUGUUUUUUUUUUGUUUUUUUUGUUUUUUUUUCAACAGGUAAAACCAGACAUUUUUUUUUUCUCCCUCCACUGCGGAUGGCGAACGUCAAUUGUUUUGGCGUUUUCUCUAUGAUCAAACGUAAACAGACAUUUAGCCCAUUGCUACACGUCACUCGCUUGCUCGGACACUGGAAGUUUAAUCGAGGAAAAAAGCAAAAGGGAUUUGAUAUGUCGCCAUUUGUUUGGCGCUGCUUUGGUUACCUACGGAAAACAAGACAGAAAAUACGAUAAGAUAACCAGUUGAAGAAGUUGUUGCAACGGAAAUAUAGUUACGUUCAGCCCCGAAUUCAUUGAGCCACGUAGACAAGUACAGAAAAACUAAAAACAGAGAUUGUCAUGUACGAGAUAAAUCGUUAUCUUUGAAAAUGUCGAUGUCUUUCCCACACGUUAUUUUAUUUGUUUUUCUCGACGUGUCUGACAUGCCAUUGUAUCGAUACGUGAUGCAAUAGCUGGAAUAUGAGGAUCCACCCAAAACUGCCCGUCGGCCAACACUAUACGCCGAUGCCUCUGGGGAAGAAAAAAGGGGUUGUCAAACACCACUAAUUAAAAAUAUAGAUGACUUUAUGUGAACUGCGAGCUUGACGUUAAAAAAAAUAGAGAAAAAAAAAGCAAGGGAAAUAGAUUUAUCUUUUGCUCUUUAUUUAUUAUGUUUUUAAUUCCAUAAGUAAAUGUUUUCAUAUAAUUUCGAGCUGUGAAUAACGAGCGCCACCUGUCUGCCGUAACACUCAUAAAUCCUCUUCUUUUUGCUCGUUUUUUUUUUUUUUUUUUUUUUCAUUGUUUUAAAAUUGACUUUGGAAGUAAAUUUAUUAAGCAAGUGCUUUUCCCGUUAUCUGGUCAAAUGUUUAAGUAAAGAACCCUGAACGUUCGGUGCAGCGUUGCAAAUGUGCCGACUCUGUCGACUUGAAAUUUGUUGGUAAUUUGUGGAAGGAGUAACUACAUCGACGAGACAAGUCUAUGAGUGAUUUGUGCGGGAGGCGGCCAAAAGAGGGCCCGAUCAAUAGACUUGAACUCAUUAAUAGUCCCGCCCCGGCGCACACACCCUUGCUCCGCCACCAAGGCUAUUGUCUAGAUGUCGUAAAACCAUCCUUUUUGGCAGGACGAUCCCAAUCCGUCAUGUACUACAUAUGCGCACACAAGUAUUCAAAUGACUCGUCGCUCCAUAAUUAUAUAGAGUUGAUGAUCUAUGUCACAUUUAAAAUCUGGUUUUAACCACCUGACACACAGAGAGACAUCUACUUGAGACACGGUGCUAAAGCUGAUCGCAUUCAUCACAAUAAAUCAGUUAGGAAUGUGCUCAACUAAACAAACAUCAUUGAAAAUAAAGGAGCCCACGGAAGCGUUGUCGAACAAUUGUGAAACAACGAUGAUUUCAGCUAUAAAUUUCGUUCUUUUUUUUUUUUUCUUUUUUUUUUACAAUGUCUUUGCUAUUUCACUUCACGCCGUUUAGACGUAGCUGUCGCACUGGCAUAAAUCCACAUGCGAUUUCCAAAAGGACCAAAAACAAAAAAAAAACCAAAAAAAAUUGCUUGCUCUGCGAUAAAUAGCCAACGUUGCUCAUCUAAGGAAUACGUCAGCAAAACGGAUCACCAGCAUCGCCGUUAUGCUCACGGAUUCAGAUUAUAUAGCCAUUAAUUUGUCGCGUUUGCAUGAUAAAAUAGCGAGAAACGAAAUGCAGCCACAAGGUGUUCAAUAUUCACGUACGCCCCCCUCUGACUGCGAAGCGCUUCCGCCGCCCCUGUCAUC